rnacentral:rRNA from 1 species
UACGUAGGGGGCAAGCGUUAUCCGGAUUUACUGGGUGUAAAGGGAGCGUAGACGGUACGCCAAGUCUGAAGUGAAAUGCCGCAGCUUAACUGCGGAACUGCUUUUGAAACUGCCAAGCUAGAGUGUCGGAGAGGUAAGUGGAAUUCCUAGUGUAGCGGUGAAAUGCGUAGAUAUUAGGAGGAACACCAGUGGCGAAGGCGGCUUACUGGACGAUGACCGACGCUGAGGCUCGAAAGCGUGGGGAGCAAACAGG